rnacentral:rRNA from 1 species
GACAGAGGGUGCAAACGUUGUUCGGAAUACUGGCGUAAGACGAGUGUAGGCGGUCUCGUAAGUCGGGUGAUGGAAAGCCCUGGGCUCAACCCAGGAAGUGCACUCGAAACUGCGAGGCUAGAGUACUGGAGAGGUUGGUGGAAUUCUCGGUGUAGAGGUGAAAUUCGUAGAUAUCAGGAGGAACACCAGUGGCGAAGGCGGCUUUCUGGACGGUA